GAUGAACGCUGGCGGCAUGCCUAAUACAUGCAAGUCGAACGAGAGGAAGGAAAGCUUGCUUUUCUGAAUCUAGUGGCGAACGGGUGAGUAACACGUAGGUAACCUGCCCAUGUGCCCGGGAUAACUUCUGGAAACGGAUGCUAAAACCGGAUAGGUAGCAGACAAGCAUUUGACUGCUAUUAAAGUGGCUAAGGCCAUGAACAUGGAUGGACCUGCGGUGCAUUAGCUAGUUGGUGAGGUAACGGCCCACCAAGGCGACGAUGCAUAGCCGGCCUGAGAGGGCGGACGGCCACAUUGGGACUGAGACACGGCCCAAACUCCUACGGGAGGCAGCAGUAGGGAAUUUUCGUCAAUGGGGGGAACCCUGAACGAGCAAUGCCGCGUGAGUGAAGAAGGUCUUCGGAUCGUAAAGCUCUGUUGUAAGAGAAAAACGACAUUCAUAGGGAAUGAUGAGUGAGUGAUGGUAU
rnacentral:rRNA from 1 species